AUAAAAGAAAAGAGAAAGGAAAUGCCCUGCCCUUUUGUGAAGUAUUACCAAUCUCCAGGUCGGACUAUGAGAAACAUGUCACCAGAUAAGGCUGACUGUUACUCCUGAAAACAAUGUGAGGAUGGAUGCGGGAACCAGGCAGCAAACAAGAGGCUCUGGAAGGAAGACACCACCAUCACGUUGAUGUUGAAAGCAAAAUAAACACAUCAUCAGGAUGGAAAGGCUGUUGUCAGGAAAAUUGGGAUGUACAUGUCUUUAUCAUCUUUAAUUAAACUAUGUCCAUCUGAACCAUGGUGUUCUUUUGCUAGCAUUAAACAGUGAAAUGAUGUUUGUUUCCCUCACCAGAAUUUUUGUUCAUUGAAUACUGCCUUAUAUUUUGUUAGUGACUAUU